rnacentral:rRNA from 1 species
CCUACGGGAGGCAGCAGUAAGGAAUCUUGCGCAAUGGGCGAAAGCCUGACGCAGCGACGCCGCGUGGGCGAUGAAGGCCUUCGGGUUGUAAAGCCCUUUUCUGGGGGACGAGGAAGGACGGUACCCCAGGAAUAAGUCACGGCUAACUACGUGCCAGCAGCCGCGGUAAAACGUAGGUGGCAAGCGUUAUCCGGAAUCACUGGGCGUAAAGGGCGUCUAGGCGGACGGGUAAGUCGUGCGUGAAAGCUUCCGGCUCAACCGGGAGAGGUCGUACGAUACUGCCUGUCUUGAGGGUCGGAGAGGGACGUGGAAUUCCCGGUGUAGCGGUGAAAUGCGUAGAGAUCGGGAGGAACACCGGAGGCGAAGGCGGCUCCCUGGACUGUCCCUGACACUGAAACACGAAAGCUAGGGGAGCAAACGGGAUUAGAUACCCCUGUAGU